AAAGAGGGCAACUCAUGCAUGCCACAAUCGACUCUCUCUUCACCAAUUGAUUCUUCAUAUUUUCUUCUCAAUCAAAAACUGAAUUCAACCUUAACGUUGCAUGCUACCAAAGAAAUUCAACACAUUCGGGUCUCCCAAAAUCACCUACAUUUCUGAAUUCGACCCGGAAACACAAGUAAACAACCCGGAAUUAUCCAAAAUGGGUCUUAUAAAUUUGAAAUUGAGCAAAUGGGUCGGGUUGAUUUGGGAAAAGGUAAAAUGGGUCAGCGAUGAAUUUGGUAGGGUGGGUGUAGA
rnacentral:misc_RNA from 1 species